rnacentral:tRNA from 1 species
GUUUUAAUAUUUUAAAUAUAAAAUAUUGAUUUUGUAAAUCAAUGAUAAGAAACUUUCUUUUAAAACU